GUGCCAGCAGCCGCGGUAAUACGGAGGAUCCAAGCGUUAUCCGGAAUCAUUGGGUUUAAAGGGUCCGUAGGUGGAUAAUUAAGUCAGAGGUGAAAUCUUGCAGCUCAACUGUAAAAUUGCCUUUGAUACUGGUUAUCUUGAGUUAUUAUGAAGUAGUUAGAAUAUGUAGUGUAGCGGUGAAAUGCAUAGAUAUUACAUAGAAUACCAAUUGCGAAGGCAGAUUACUAAUAAUCAACUGACACUGAUGGACGAAAGCGUGGGUAGCGAACAGGAUUAGAUACCCUGGUAGUCCACGCCGUAAACGAUGGUUACUAGCUGUUUGGACCUUGUGUCUGAGUGGCUAAGCGAAAGUGAUAAGUAACCCACCUGGGGAGUACGUUCGCAAGAAUGAAACUCAAAGGAAUUGACGGGGGCCCGCACAAGCGGUGGAGCAUGUGGUUUAAUUCGAUGAUACGCGAGGAACCUUACCAGGGCUUAAAUGUAAGUUGCAUUAGUUAGAGAUAGCUAUUUCUUCGGACCACUUACAAGGUGCUGCAUGGUUGUCGUCAGCUCGUGCCGUGAGGUGUCAGGUUAAGUCCUAUAACGAGCGCAACCCCUGUUGUUAGUUGCCAGCGAGUCAUGUCGGGAACUCUAACAAGACUGCCGGUGCAAACCGUGAGGAAGGUGGGGAUGACGUCAAAUCAUCACGGCCCUUACGUCCUGGGCUACACACGUGCUACAAUGGUCGGUA
rnacentral:rRNA from 1 species